rnacentral:rRNA from 1 species
AAMCCGGGGCUAAUACCGGAUAACAUUUUGAACCGCAUGGUUCGAAAUUGAAAGGCGGCUUCGGCUGUCACUUAUGGAUGGACCCGCGUCGCAUUAGCUAGUUGGUGAGGUAACGGCUCACCAAGGCAACGAUGCGUAGCCGACCUGAGAGGGUGAUCGGCCACACUGGGACUGAGACACGGCCCAGACUCCUACGGGAGGCAGCAGUAGGGAAUCUUCCGCAAUGGACGAAAGUCUGACGGAGCAACGCCGCGUGAGUGAUGAAGGCUUUCGGGUCGUAAAACUCUGUUGUUAGGGAAGAACAAGUGCUAGUUGAAUAAGCUGGCACCUUGACGGUACCUAACCAGAAAGCCACGGCUAACUACGUGCCAGCAGCCGCGGUAAUACGUAGGUGGCAAGCGUUAUCCGGAAUUAUUGGGCGUAAAGCGCGCGCAGGUGGUUUCUUAAGUCUGAUGUGAAAGCCCACGGCUCAACCGUGGAGGGUCAUUGGAAACUGGGAGACUUGAGUGCAGAAGAGGAAAGUGGAAUUCCAUGUGUAGCGGUGAAAUGCGUAGAGAUAUGGAGGAACACCAGUGGCGAAGGCGACUUUCUGGUCUGUAACUGACACUGAGGCGCGAAAGCGUGGGGAGCAAACAGGAUUAUAUACCCUGGUAGUCCACGCCGUAAACGAUGAGUGCUAAGUGUUAGAGGGUUUCCGCCCUUUAGUGCUGAAGUUAACGCAUUAAGCACUCCGCCUGGGGAGUACGGCCGCAAGGCUGAAACUCAAAGGAAUUGACGGGGGCCCGCACAAGCGGUGGAGCAUGUGGUUUAAUUCGAA